GCACCAGCUGUGGAGAAGUGAGGAAGAGACAGAGGACGAUGGAGGGACGUAAUCAGGAAGGGCGAGAUUAAAGGAUUCAGGCUGGGGGCGUGAGGGAGCGAGUGCGAGCAAGCGAGCGGGAGUGGGUGUUUCGGAAGUGACAUCUCUUGGGCAGUAACCUUGUUUCCUGUGUGGUGGAGUUGGGGGCGGAUUCAAGGCGCUAGCAGCGCAGCAACAGUGACGCCGUGUGGACGCUUUGGGUGAGCAAUGGGGAACCCGGGACGUGCCGCGCGAGGGCUGGGUGAAUGAUCUAAUAGCUGGUUGCUAAAUUUGUAUGUCAGGUGUUUAAACUUAAGAAGUAGGAAUGGAACCAAGAAGUGGGCCAUCACAGACUGAAAUCUGACCACCCACCUGGCCACCUCCCACAAACAAUUGUGAAGCCAGUUGGGAGCCUCUGCACAUACUCAUACAACUAA
ensembl:lncRNA